UCGUAGGUGAACCUGCGGAAGGAUCAUU
rnacentral:rRNA from 1 species